GUUCGGAUAGCUCAGUUGGUUAGAGCCUAGUGCUGAUAAUGCCAAGGUUGUAAGUUCGAUCCCCGGAUGGGACA
rnacentral:tRNA from 1 species